GGUUUAAUUCGACGCAACGCGAAAAAACCUUACCUACCCUUGACAUGCCUGGAAUCUUGCAGAGAUGCGGGAGUGCUCGAAAGAGAGCCAGGACACAGGUGCUGCAUGGCCGUCGUCAGCUCGUGUCGUGAGAUGUUGGGUUAAGUCCCGCAACGAGCGCAACCCUUGUCAUUAGUUGCUACGAAAGGGGCACUCUAAUGAGACUGCCGGUGACAAACCGGAGGAAGGUGGGGAUGACGUCAGGUCAUCAUGGCCCUUAUGGGUAGGGCUACACACGUCAUACAAUGGCCGGUACAGAGGGCUGCCAACCCGCGAGGGGGAGCCAAUCCCAGAAAACCGGUCGUAGUCCGGAUCGCAGUCUGCAACUCGACUGCGUGAAGUCGGAAUCGCUAGUAAUCGCGGAUCAGCUUGCCGCGGUGAAUACGUUCCCGGGUC
rnacentral:rRNA from 1 species